GAUAAGCCAGCACAGUAUGUCAGUACCUUCAGUGUGUCGCACAGACUUGCUAAUAGGGGACAAAACAAAAGCCACGGAAACAAAAGCAGCUCAACAUCUUGUUCUGAUGAAAUGAGAACUCUCCCUCCAGUGUCUUUUAAUGGACCAUGGGAGACUCAGGAUUCACCAGUGUCUCAGGAAGCUGCAGCAGGCAAUGGCAGAUGGCAGCUGGAACACAAGGUGAUCUGACGGAACAGCAGUGCCCUGGAAACAUCUUACUGCACAAAAAUCAAAAGGAAAUUGGAGAUUGGCUUUGUUAAGGACAUCUCUUGUUCUGUGGCGCUGUUACACAAUCGUUGCACGGAAGUGUCUACAGGUGGUAAUGAGGAGGAAUCAAAGCUUCAGAGGAAGCUGCAGGAACAGCUGGACCUCCUAAGAGCUGCAAAAGAAGAUUCCCCAGCUAAAACAUGUCCACGGAGAGCCAUAUGUGCAUAGCUGUUAGGAUUUUGGAAUCGGUGUGGUGGAAUGACAGGGAGUUGAUGGGUAAAUAUUAAUUGAGAGAGCAACCCCUGCCAAGAAAUUGUUUGUGAUCGUGUUGCCUUAUCUUCAUGCAAAAUAUUUACCAAGUCAAAUACUGCCAUUUAACUUACCAUAACUUUGUAGUCAUUGCACAAUGACUUGAAGAGAAGGCCCAGCAGCCUGGCAGCCUACUGGUGUGCUCUUGUGCUGUUCCAGGGGCAGUGAGACUGUCAGCAUGGCACCAUGUGCUGGGAAGCUGCUUUCCAUUCUACGUGCAGCGUCACAGGGCUGUGCUGAGCCACGUGCCAAGCUGACACUUUGUCCUGGCCAGCUUUGGGCCAGGGGAUGGAAGGGUAAGCUGAGCUGUUGGGUCUCUGUCAUCUGUCUGAAGGGCUUGCAGAGAUCUAGUGAAUGGAGCACAGUGUUUGGGUUUUCUUUCCAGAGCUGGCAACGUACAGGUGUAAGGUUGGUAGCAUGGAGAAGACCAUACAAAGAAUAUAAAAAAGAGGGGAAGUUCAUUUUUACAAUAUUUCUGCACCUCCCAAAACAUUUUGGGUUUUUGUUUUUUUUUUUUUUAGUGUUUCAUUUGCUCGGAGUCUGACCUGGGAUAUCACAGGGAUGCUUCUCUCACUUCUGAUUCAGUAGAUUUGUAUUUCAGGGACUCAUUUGCAUUGACAGGCAGAAAAUACUUCUGUUUAAUUAGAAUAAAUUGUUUUAUAGUUGAAGAUGAAGGCGACCCUGUAAGAGCGCCACUCACAUCUUUAGUUGAUGCCUCAUGCCUACAGUUGAUGUGGGAACCCUACUCCCAUGCCAAAGGCACAGGCCAUGUGUGCACUGAGUAAUCACAAAUUUACACAUCGGCAUUACUCAACCUCCAGGCAACGUGCGGUCAGUUUUCAUUUGCACUCUUAAAAUUGUUUCCAUUUAACACCCUUAAGCAGCUCUGCGCAUUGCAGUGAAAUAUAAAAUGACCCUCACGUUUGCUCUCCUGCUUAUUCAACACGACCGUUCCCCGCUCGGCGUGGCAGCGUGCUUUUCAUGUGGCUGCCCAUAUGCCCUGCACAUGACUGUGAUCUGGCUCCCAAAAGAGUAUGUUGUGAUCUGCUCGCGUGUGCCAAUUCACAUAUCUAAACGUUUUCAUAAGGGGAACCCCUUUGUGUUAGUCAUCUGGUUGUCAAACAAGACCUGGCUGUGAUCCUGGACCUGGCACUAGAUGAAAUAUGUGCACUUUAAACAUUUCAUACUGAAACUGAUGGGAAUGGGCAAUUCCUCAGUACAUUUUCUCAAGGUUUUUAAACAAUAAAUGUCAACCUAAGGGCAAAGCAAGACAGAUUUCAGAUUAAAGAGACGGGCUUUGCUUAACAUCUAUAAAUCCCUUGGUCCCAACCUCCUUCAUGGUUUUUGAAACAAGGAACAAGGAAAGGCUGUGUCAAGCGCAAUGGACACUUUUGUCAACACAACUUCUGCCUUUGGUAGCAUGAUAGAAAGAUUUCAAAAAUAGAUUUUUCUGAUGGAUUCAUGACUUGGCAUCCCGUAGAGAAUCUAGUAUUCUUCCAAGCAAAGCUAAAGGUUUGUGUUAGAAGGCUAGCAAAGCCAGUCAAAAGAGCCUUUCAUCCUCGAGAUUACUAAAAUAUUCCUUUGUUUAUUUUUCUCCUUCAAUUACUUUUCCUGUCUUGGUUUAAUCUGUAGUGCUGAAGCUUGUCAGCACCUAUAGCCUUUUGUUUAGGAUAGAUGCCUUGGGAGCAUGAAUAAAAACAAUUUUCAUGUAGUGUCUCCUUGUCACAGCUGCUGCCUGAAGCCCAUCGACUUCUCUUUCCAAAGACCCGAUUAUGCACACACAAACAGAACAGAGCCUGGAGCCAGCAGUUUGAUGUUGCUCAACGCCAGCGAUGAGCCCUCGCUAACCUGGUGCUCCAUCAUUUGCAAUAGAAGCAGCAAAUUUGUUUUCUCUCCCACUUUUCAAAGGAAAGGUUCACAAAAAAAAUAUAAGUGCCAGAAUGCUUGUCUUGACUGUGACUUUAAGUUUUAAAAUAUUUUAAUAUGUAAAUUCUAGAAUUUGCAGCUGCAGGGAGAAGCUCUGAGUAGGAAAAUGAAACUUGUAUUUGGAAAAUUAAUUCUCAAACAAAAAUUCCCUGUAUAUGUUUUCUUUUUCUAGGAAAGUGAUUUCUUGAAACUUCAGCAUAUGCUUUCCAUUUGUGUGAGCUGGCACUGCCACGAGCCAGAGGAGGCUUGCAGCAAGCGGGGCUGUGCAGGACUGGCACCUGCUAGGCUGUGCUUGGUUGCUUGGGUGACUUCUGGACCUUCUGGUACUGUGAGUGAGCCACACUUGAUGGAAAGGUGAUGAGCAUUUUUUCUUGAUCCCAUGCCAUUGUGGAGUGGUUGGAGCUUGCUGUCAUGGACAGUCUUGUCUUGCAGAGAGCAGCGCAUCCCUGCAGAAGGAGAAAUGCUGUAGUCGUUCUAGUUACAAGAGAAGCUUCAAGGAAAGUUUGUAUUUAAUUAUUGUUAGAAGUGUGCAGCAAAACGGAUUUGUUUUUAGCUCUUACAAAGCCAUAUGCCUAUGUCUCUGGAUCCCAAAGCCACAUAACAAAUGAAACAAGCAAAAGCAAGACCAAAUAGCAGUGAUUAAAUGUCUCUAUUCCAGAAUCGGGUGCGUACUGUGGUCAAGACCGGCGGUAGCAGAGUAGCCAGGGUGCAUUGCUGAAGCAGGAGAGCAGAGAGGAGCAAUGGGCUGUGUUUGUGGGGAAUGAGGAGCGUGGGUCUGUGUGCACCCUGGGAGGGGGCUCCUGACCAAGAACACAGUCCUGGAACCUGCUGUGCAGUUGUUUGCAGCUGGAAAAAUGCAAUGGAGAGGUGAUUCUUCAUGUAAUUCUUAGGUGAGCCCUUUGAAUCAGUUGGAGCUGUUUUCGCUAACUCAUUCAAAACUAACAUUUUAUUCUGUCCCAGUGAGCUGGAGCAGCCUGGCUUGCUUCUCAUAGGGUGUCUGUCCAGCUCCUCUAAGACAGCGGAAGGAACCAGAGGUUGUGAUCAUGGUUCAGUGACAGAGUGAAGGGAUGAAGGUCAUUCCUCUCACGGGGACAAAAUCUCCUCCUACUCUCUGGCACCACUUCUCUGCUCAGUGUUGUUCCUGCUAAUCGGGAUGCUUUGAAACAGAGAGAGAGGAUAGUGGGAGGUGCUAGAAGGAAGGCUGAAUUAAAGGCAGAAGAGAGCACAGUGGGGAUACAGACAGAAAAACAGGCUGCAUGCUGAGCACGUUUAAAGGGGCACAGCUGGAACAAUGUUGGAGCUUUGCAUGUAUGUUUGCCUGUUCCCAUGUUAUUUUUCCCCAGUAUUGCAUACAGCAUGGUUCCCCCACAAGGUUAAAGAUCACAAUAAUGUUUUAUGUAGGUAGCAGAAUACCCUGUGUAGAGGAAGUGGUACAUGAUUUUACUUAGAGAACAGAGAUUUCAUGGUUUUUAACACAUGCAAGGAAAUUUGUCCACUGGCAUCUGCUGUGAAGAUGAUAUCCCUUUGCUACAGGUCAAGAAGCAAAAGCAUCUGCAGCUGUGAGGAUGGUGCUUGCAGAAAACACUUGUGCAGGUAUCUUCAUUCUGAUUUGGUUCCCAUCUAGGAAGAGGCAUGUCCUCAGGAUGGCUGCUGAGUGCCAUCGGCACUGGGAGAGAAAAGAGCAGAUGUAUGGCUUUAAACCAAGAUAUGAAAAAGCAGGAAUCUGAAGUUAGCUUUAAAGUUAUUUGGGCUGGAGUAUUGGUGGGAAGUGUCAGUGGGCUGCAGCUCAGAAUCUGCACUAACUGCUUAGCUGCCUGGCUUUUUCUUCAGCAGUGUCACUUGAGAGUCUUCAUGUGCAAGCAGAGGACACUGAUCUGCCCUGUCUUCCAUGCAUGCACAUUCAUUCAGUGCAGUUACCUUUGGAAUUGAGCACAGACGUAUCAGGUAAAUGCAGGUGGAUGCAGCCAACAGUAAAGUUGUUUUUCUUCUGUUGUGCUGAUGCACGGAUAGCAACCCCAUCCCAAUCUUACUGUUGGGUCAUCAGUCAAGACUUGAGGACUGCCAAAAGUAUGGCUCAUCCCUGAGCUGUUUGCAGUUCAGCAUUUUACGUAUUCUGGGCCUGUCCAAGCUGAGCCAAACUGAUUUUUGCAUCCAACAAAGAAAUGAUAGGAUGAGAGGGAAUGGCCUCAAGUUGUGCCAGAGGAGAUUCAGGCUGGAUAUUAGGAAGAAUUUAUUUUCAGAAAGAGUGAUGAGGCAUUGGAACAGGCUGCCCAGGAGGUGGUGGAGUCAUCAUCCCUGGUGGUGGUUAAAGAAAAGGUGGAUGUAGCACUUAGGGACAUUGUUUAGUGGGCAGUAUUGGUAGUUGAUGGAUGGUUGGACUAGAUGAUCUUAGAGGUCUUUUCCAACCUUAAUGAACCUGUGAUUCUGUGAAUAUAUGUGGAGUAUGUGACUGGCAGAAAGGAUAGAUGUUGGGAUGAGAGGCCUGGGUGCAGGUCUGAUAGCAAAUGACUCCUGCAAAUUGGGCAGAGUAGGUUUCUGCUCUCUCCAUACUUAAUUUCCCAGCGCUGUUUGGAGCUAGCUGGGAGCAGGAGAUAGUGAGAUGUCAGCAAGAACAACCUCUCCAGGUGCUGUGAUGAGUGUGGAGUAUACAGGUAUUUCACAGAAAGUGGUGACAGCAUGAUCUGCAUUACCUGGUAAGGUGAUACAUCUGUGCAUACCUGUGUGAUUUUAUAUGUGUGUAUCAGUGGCCUAUUGUUAUGAUGUGCUUAUGUGGCACUUCAUUUGUGGAGUGUACCUUGUGUUGGUGGUGUUCUCAAGCAGGGGGAGACAUCUGUCAGGCAAACACUAGUAAACAUCGUGCAGCUGUAUUUUGUUAGGGUUUCAUUUUGCAUUUUCCUCUCUUCUCCACCUCAGCACUCCUUCAGAUCACACUGGCGUCAACUGUGGUUAUGGCAAAAGAAGAUAACUGCUGUUAACCCUGUAAGAUGCUAGCAUAAGAUGAAAGCAUUUUCUUAAUGCACUCAAUCUAUGACCAGUUGUUUUUAAAGCUGUUUGAGAACAGCACAGAGAAGACAUUUUGCAUUUGGUCAGUCAGAAGUUGGUAACUGUUUUAGAAGCCUGCUGGAAGGAAGACAUCAAGAAAAGCUUUUGCAAAGCUGUGCUUUCACCUCACAGUGCUUUGCAGAGAUACAUUCUUGGGUUUGGUUCAUAUGGGUUCAUUUCUCUGACUUUCACUUUGAAUUUUGGAAUCAAAGGCAUUUUAAAAUUCUAGGUCAAACUUAUUAGAUAACACUGUAUCUCACCUGGUUUCAGCUCUUUAAGCAGUCAGAAGCAGUGCCUCCCCUGCUGUGGUCCUGAUACAAAUCUGUGAGUCAUCACGUCAGCGCGUUUGAAGCUCGGCCUAGCACUUCUGUCCAGAGUACGGCAUUGCUCACAAAGUUCAUGGCUUCUCCUUUGAACAGGGUGUUGCAGUGAAACAGGCAGCAGGUCAGAUUUCUGAGUAGAUGGCAAAGACAGCACCCAGCUUUCAUUUUGGGGAUUUUGCUAACAUAAAGCCGCCUAGCCAGGAGGCAGUUUGGGCUGUGUUGAGUUUGUGGCCACAGAUCCCUGAUCUUGUUCCUUUGAGCCAGAGCUGGUGUCCUUUUGGGAGCAUCAGACGCGUUUGCUUCUGUCCUGGAUGCCAACAUUCAGCCGUCAUGGCCGUGGCUGAGGUCUCCAUUCUUGCCAUAUAGGCUGGAGUCUGCAGCAGCGGGGCUUAGAACUUGAUGCAAGUGUGAAGGGAGAGUUCUGAGCACUGACCGCUCACGACUGUCUGAUAUGUCAGAGCUCUGAGACCAGGCCAGAGGGAGGGUGAAUACAGUACUGGGGAGAAGCCCCUUCCCCUCCUCCUGGUGGGGGGCAGUGGGGCUGGCCCUGGCCCUGUGCAGCACAGCUGCCCCUGGGGUUUCCGGGAAUUCCCGCCUGUAUGUGGUUUCUUAACCAGUCCUGCAAAAAUGUAUUUUUUAUUGAAUGUUAUUCUAGCCAUAAAACUUUUAAGCUGUUCAAAUACUUUCCUUUGUACAGUAGACAUCUGAGACUAUUAGGCAUUAACAAGUAAAUGUAUUUUUUUUUCAACUGCUUCAA